rnacentral:rRNA from 1 species
CCUACGGGAGGCAGCAGUGGGGAAUAUUGGACAAUGGGGGGAACCCUGAUCCAGCCAUGCCGCGUGUGUGAAGAAGGCCUUAUGGUUGUAAAGCACUUUAAGCGAGGAGGAGGCUACUUUAGUUAAUACCUAGAGAUAGUGGACGUUACUCGCAGAAUAAGCACCGGCUAACUCUGUGCCAGCAGCCGCGGUAAUA